UAAGGCGAGGUAGUGGUGGUCAGGUCUGGAAGGCAAGGAGUGCUGGGUGACAGUGACAGGGGAGAUCUCAGGAGUGGUAAAACAGGGCAAAAGGAUGCCCACUUCAAUCUGCAGUCUGGGAAAGAGGUAGGAGGAACCAGAGCUCCACCAAACUAUGAUGUCAUUGGGAUAACUGAGAUGUCAUGAGAUAGCUUGCUUAGAGGACUGCUGUACUGCAAUGGGCAGAUACCAGCUCUUCAGGAGAGACAGGCUAGGAGGACAAGUGGGACUUGCCCUCUACGUGCGGGAGCACUUCAGAUGCAGUGAACUCUCCUAUGGGCCAGACAACAGCCUGCAUGAGAGCUUUUGUGUCAGGAUCAGGAGAGGCUGGCAAGGAUGGCACCUUAGCAGGGGAAGGUCUCCUAUGCAUCUGUGCUCAGAGGCAGGCUUGAAGAAAGGAAAUUUCAAUUCUCUUCAAACUCCUGAAUUUUAUUCAAGGCAGUGGAUGAGAGUAAAGUCAGUGACUACCUGACAGGACUUGAACUAUACACAUAUGCUGCAUCUGAGGAAGCUUAAGGAGCUGCCCAGUGUAUAUGCAAGUUUAUUUUCUGUCAUCUUCAAAAUGUUGUGGAGAUCAGGAGAGGUAACCCAUGAAAAACUAUGAAGGCAAACACAAUGCACAUGUCAAAAACAAACAAAUAAAAAACAAAGAAGCAAGCAAGCAAACAAA